UACAGAGGUCUCAAGCGUUGUUCGGAUUCAUUGGGCGUAAAGGGUGCGUAGGUGGCGGGGUAAGUCAGGUGUGAAAUUUCGGAGCUUAACUCCGAAACUGCAUUUGAUACUGCCUUGCUUGAGGACUGGAGAGGAGACUGGAAUUCACGGUGUAGCAGUGAAAUGCGUAGAGAUCGUGAGGAAGACCAGUGGCGAAGGCGGGUCUCUGGACAGUUCC
rnacentral:rRNA from 1 species